ACUUGAAUAGCUCAGAGGUAGAGCGCGGCGUUGAAGUUGCCGAGGGGAUUGAUUAAAUCUUUAAGUA
rnacentral:tRNA from 1 species